AUUGAACGCUGGCGGCAGGCCUAACACAUGCCAGUCGAGCGGAGCGGCGGACGGGUGAGUAAUGCCUCUGAAUCUGCCUGGUCGUGGGGGAUAACUUCCGGAAACGGGCGCUAAUACCGCAUACUUUCAGCUGAGCCUAUGUUGGAUUAGCUAGUUGGUGGGGUAAAGGCCUACCAGGGCGACGCUCCGUAACUGGUCUGAGAGGAUGACCAGCCACACAGGAACUGAGACACGGUCCAGACUCCUACGAGAGGCAGCAGUGGGGAAUAUUGCACAAUGGGCGCAAGCCUGAUGCAGCCAUGCCGCGUGUAUGAAGAAGGCCUUCGGGUUGUAAAGUACUUUCAGCGGGGAGGCGUUACCCGCAGAAGAAGCACCGGCUAACGCCGUGCGAGCAGCCGCGGUAAUUC
rnacentral:rRNA from 1 species